rnacentral:lncRNA from 1 species
UGUGGAAAUUACAAGGAUAUAGGGUCGCCGUUUAGAAUUGGCGAGCAACUAUGAAUUUGUUUGUUCUAGUAAAACAAUCAUUGAUUAAAUGAGUUUGUAACCUUGUAUUUGAAGGAUGAGUACUUAGGCUUAAUCAGUAAUGACGCUCCUAGAAUCUGUCCUCUACCAUGACCGCAACGUUAGUGCAAACUUUUGAGUCUGAGAAUGAACGAAAGCUUCAAAUUUUGAAUGUCAUGUGCAUUUGUAGGAGGGCUUGCAAAGACUGUUUAUAUAUGGAGAUGAUUGACAAUCUUCUAAAGACAACAUCACAUCCCUGGUUGCUCUUGAGAAAGUCAUGAAUUCGUGAAGAGUUGGAAAAAUUGGUGUUAACACACUAUCUAGUUAGAUUUGAAAAUUUAAUGUCCAUGCAAAAUGAUUUGACGGGAUAUGCUUCCAAAAUAAUCUCUUUCAAAGACCUUAUGGAUGAAUCUUACUGAUGUUCAGUUAUACUCUGCUUCACUAGCAUGAUGUUGCAUGUAUUAAGGUUGAGUCCUAAGGUAAUUAUUUCUGUUGAGUAAACAUAAGAUCAUGAACACCAUUCUCUUAGUUAAGAAAGCAAUGUAUAUGUGAUCAAUGCAUGUUCUGGAGCUUGAACAUACAUAUAUCAAAUUAAUUUAAAUUACAAAAUACAUAAUGACAUCUAGUCCUUUUUGGAGUAAGUAUUUCGAUAAUCUAUUGUUUGACAUCUAGUCCUUAAGGGAAGAUCACAAUAACAAAAUUUGACCCAUAAUUUGGCUAAGACUAUGAAGGGCAGUAGCCGUUUGAAUAUGAUGUCUUAGAUGAAAGAUAUGUAUACGACCCACCCUGAUUGUGUAGAAUAAGAUCUGUUGUAAGAUGAGGAUUUAGAGAUGUCCAAGGAUCUCUACUAUAUCAUCAAUUGUAGUACUGCUUGUCUCGAACCAUCUUGGUAGGCCCAUCUCCUAUAUGCAGUGAUCCUUAUCUUGCAUGGUAUGAAUGAAACGUGACUUGUUGGAUUAUUGACUUAGACCGAAUGGCCGUGAGUCAUAUUUUGCCACAUGUUCGGUGCUACCUCCCUAGUCAUUAGAUGCAUUAUUGUUCAAAUUGUUGUUAGCAUCAUCACUCUUAUAAUGAGAUGAUUUGGGCGAUUAGUUGUCCAAGGAUUCGAUGGUCUCAUAAUCUAGGUGAGUGAAUUUGCAGCUUUUUCCAUUUCCCUCUCUUGCUGUUUUGAGAAAUUAUUUUCUUUCUCUGGCAGCCCUUGCCUAAUUGGCUUUUCCAAUGGCUCGACCAUGCUCAUCACUUUGUUUGGUCCUACAUCCUUGACUGGAUUGGGUGUCAUGGUGACCUUUUUUUAGCAUCUUUG